GCUAAAAACCUAGCUCUACCUAAACUGCAUAACACCCCCUCCCAUAUUACUCAUCUAAACUAAAACAUUUAUUCAUUUUAGUAAAGGGGAUUGAAAAAUUUACCGAAGCUAUAAAAUUAGUACCGCAAGGGAAAGGUGAAAUAUUAAUGAAAAACCUUUAAGCAAAGAAAAGUAGAGCCUAACCCUCGUACCUUUUGCAUCAUGGUUCAACUAGUUUAACCAAGCAAAAAGAAUUCAAGUUUGACUCCCCGAAACUAAGCGAGCUACUUCAGGGCAGCUUUAUGAGCCAACUCAUCUCUGUUGCAAAAGAGUGGGAAGACCCUCAAGUAGUGGCGAUAUACCUAACGAGCUUAGUGAUAGCUGGUUACUCAAGAAAAGAAUUUUAGUCCAACCUAAAGCCUCAACCUUUUAACAAAAACACCCUUCGACUUUAGAGCAAUUCAAAUAAGGUACAGCCUAUUUGAAACAGGAUACAACCCCUCUAGACGGGUAAAAUCCACGCUUCGACCCUUAAGUAGGCCUAAGAGCAGCCAUCUUUUAAAAAGCGUCACAGCUUAGUCAUUUCAAGCCACACAAUUUCUUACUUUAAUUUUAACCCUCCUACAGUACUGAGUAAUUUUAUACCCCUAUAAAAACUUUUAUGUUGAAACUAGUAACAAGAAGAAAGAACUUCUCUUAAAUGCAAGCAUAAGUCAUAAAGGACAAACCACUGACAACUAACGCUUAUGAACACAUAUUAGCAACUCUCCACAAGAAAAACCUAAUCCUACUUCACGUUAACCUAACACAAGAGCAUUUCAAGAAAGAUUAAAAGAAAAAGAAGGAACUCGGCAAAUAUUAACCCCGCCUGUUUACCAAAAACAUCGCCUCUUGAAUAAACAUAAGAGGUCCAGCCUGCCCAGUGACUAAUGUUCAACGGCCGCGGUAUCCUAACCGUGCGAAGGUAGCGUAAUCACUUGUUCUUUAAAUGAGGACUAGUAUGAAUGGCACCACGAGGGUUAUACUGUCUCCUUUCUCUGAUCAGUGAAACUAAUCUCCCCGUGAAGAAGCGGGGAUUUAUCUAUAAGACGAGAAGACCCUAUGGAGCUUUAAAUCUCUUUUCAAACGCUAAAAUACUUAUACAAGUCUUAGACUUACCCUACACACACCCAAGCGCCAUGAAAAUAAUUUUAGGUUGGGGUGACCGCGGAGCACAAAAAAACCUCCAUGCUGAACUAGGCGUCCAAACCUUGAGCUAAGAGCUACGACCCAAUGCACUAAAAAAUUAACACCAAUUGACCCAAUAUUCAUUUGAUCAACGAACCAAGUUACCCUAGGGAUAACAGCGCAAUCCAUUUCAAGAGUCCGUAUCGACAAAUGGGUUUACGACCUCGAUGUUGGAUCAGGGUCUCCCAGUGGUGCAGCCGCUACUAAUGGUUCGUUUGUUCAACGAUUAAAACCCU
rnacentral:rRNA from 1 species